UACGAAGGGGGCUAGCGUUGCUCGGAAUCACUGGGCGUAAAGCGCACGUAGGCGGAUUGUUAAGUCAGGGGUGAAAUCCUGGAGCUCAACUCCAGAACUGCCUUUGAUACUGGAGAGCUUGAGUCCGGAAGAGGUGAGUGGAACUCCGAGUGUAGAGGUGAAAUGCGUAGAUAUCUGGAGGAACACCGGUGGCGAAGGCGACAUCCUGGACCCGGUAUUGACGCUGAGGCGCGAAAGCCAGGGGAGCAAAGCGGGG
rnacentral:rRNA from 1 species